rnacentral:misc_RNA from 1 species
GAUGAAGAACGCAGCGAAAUGCGAUAAGUAAUGUGAAUUGCAGAAUUCAGUGAAUCAUCGAAUCUUUGAACGCACAUUGCGCCCUCUGGUAUUCCGGGGGGCAUGCCUGUUCGAGCGUCAUUACAACCCUCAAGCUCUGCUUGGUCUUGGGCGUCACCGGUCCCCGGUGUGCCUUAAAAUCAGUGGCGGCGCCAUCUGGCUCUAAGCGUAGUACAUACUCUCGCUACAGACGUCCGGUGGAUGCUGGCCAGCAACCCCCAAUUUAUCAAGGUUGACCUCGGAUCAGGUAGGGAUACCCGCUGAACUUAAGCAUAUCAAUAAGCGGAGGA